rnacentral:rRNA from 1 species
UACGUAGGGUGCGAGCGUUGUCCGGAAUUAUUGGGCGUAAAGGGCUCGUAGGCGGUUUGUCGCGUCGGGAGUGAAAUCCACUGGCUUAACUGGUGGCUUGCUUUCGAUACGGGCAGACUGGAGGUAUGCAGGGGAGAACGGAAUUCCUGGUGUAGCGGUGAAAUGCGCAGAUAUCAGGAGGAACACCGGUGGCGAAGGCGGUUCUCUGGGCAUGUCCUGACGCUGAGAAGCGAAAGCAUGGGGAGCGAACAGG